GACCAAAAAAGAAAAUCGGUCCUAAAAGAUCUGAAGUAUAUCAAGCUGGUGCUAAAAGAAGGACUCUUAACCCCUCUAUUCCUCAUAAGGAGAGCUUGGAAUCUGAAGAUUUUUCUGCAAAGUAGGUUUCCCUUUGGCUCUAAUUCAUGAUAUUUGGUAACUUGCUG